GGCUGAAUGGUCUAGUAGCAUGAUUCUCGCUUUGGGUUCUUGUGAGAAAUCACAUCGAAAACUGCGAGAGGUCCCGGGUUCAAUUCCCGGUUCAGCCC